UCCGGUAUGGUCUACUGGCUAGGAUCCCUAGCUUUCACCCAGGAAGCUCGGGUUUGAUUCCCGGUACCGGAA